AGUGAACGCUGGCGGUAGGCCUAACACAUGCAAGUCGAACGGCAGCACAGUAAGAGCUUGCUCUUACGGGUGGCGAGUGGCGGACGGGUGAGGAAUACAUCUGAAUCUACUUUUUCGUGGGGGAUAACGUAGGGAAACUUACGCUAAUACCGCAUACGACCUACGGGUGAAAGCAGGGGAUCUUCGGACCUUGCGCGAUUGAAUGAGCCGAUGUCGGAUUAGCUAGUUGGCGGGGUAAAGGCCCACCAAGGCGACGAUCCGUAGCUGGUCUGAGAGGAUGAUCAGCCACACUGGAACUGAGACACGGUCCAGACUCCUACGGGAGGCAGCAGUGGGGAAUAUUGGACAAUGGGCGCAAGCCUGAUCCAGCCAUACCGCGUGGGUGAAGAAGGCCUUCGGGUUGUAAAGCCCUUUUGUUGGGAAAGAAAAGCAGCAGGUUAAUACCCCGCUGUUCUGACGGUACCCAAAGAAUAAGCACCGGCUAACUUCG
rnacentral:rRNA from 1 species